rnacentral:rRNA from 1 species
UACGUAGGGUGCGAGCGUUGCCCGGAUUUAUUGGGCGUAAAGGGCGCGUAGGCGGCCACGCACGUCCGUUGUGAAAUCGCCCGGCUCAACUGGGCGGGGUCGGCGGAUACGGCGUGGCUGGAGCAAGCUAGGGGGCAAUGGAAUUCCCGGUGUAGUGGUGGAAUGCGUAGAUAUCGGGAGGAACACCCGUGGCGAAGGCGGCUCUCUGGGACGGUACUGACGCUGAGACGCGAAAGCGUGGGGAGCGAACAGG